UGGACUCGUGAUGAGUAUCAUGUAGUAUCUGAAAUCAGAAUAUUUAGAUUAAAUUCAUAGACAACUCUGAGGUCCAC
rnacentral:snoRNA from 1 species